GUUAAUAUAAAAGCAGCAAAAUCUCAGCUACUUAUAUAAUUUUCUCCUUUUAUUUGAAAGUUACACUUAGAGAUUAAUAAUAUGUACAGAGAAGCUUUUCCUGCCUACUCUGUUUAUAACUCUGUCCAACUUGCCCACAAACACUGCCCUCCUUCAACCCAUCUGAUGUGGGCAAAGCCACUGUUUUCUUAGGCCCAUAACUCAGUGCAGCUGUUUUAUUUUUAUAAUGCCGGUCAACCUUUUUGUGUGUGUGUGUGUGUGUGUGUGUGUGUGUGUGUGUGUGUGUGUGUGUGUCUACGAUGUGCUUAUUUAAUAAUUGCCAAAAUAUUUAGACUAGAGUAACUUCCGGUGGGUCAAUUGGAUUGUGACUUUCUUUUGUGGUUUUUUGGUUCUUCGAUUGCUCUCUGUUAAAUAUUUUCAUAAUUCCCCCCACAGAAUACGUGUGUAUAUACUGCAACUUAAAAACUAAAAGCAGUACUCGAAUGAGUUGUUUUAAUGUUGUACUUUUAUCUGUUUGUUUUAUGGGUUCUCCUGCUGCCUAAUGACCUUUCUGUUUUUAUAACUGCCGGAAAGCCGCGAAGCCUCUCGCAUGGGGAGCUAGGUCCCCGCUGCGGCUCCGCACUUGAGUUUAUUAUAAACUCUGGGGUUCUGAGUAAGUUUUGUUUGAAUACAGCAACAUGAUUGUCUCUUUCUAUUCUUAUCCUAAAAGACUCUGU
rnacentral:lncRNA from 10 species